GUGCUCACUUUGACAGCACACAUACUAAAAUUGGAACGAUACAGAGAAGAUUAGCAUGGCCCCUGCGCAAGGAUGACACACAAAUUUGUGAAGCAUUCCAUAUUAAA
rnacentral:snRNA from 1 species